UGGGGAAUUUUGGACAAUGGGCGAAAGCCUGAUCCAGCAAUGCCGCGUGUGUGAAGAAGGCCUUCGGGUUGUAAAGCACUUUUGUCCGGAAAGAAAUCCUUGGCUCUAAUACAGUCGGGGGAUGACGGUACCGGAAGAAUAAGCACCGGCUAACUACGUGCCAGCAGCCGCGGUAAUACGUAGGGUGCAAGCGUUAAUCGGAAUUACUGGGCGUAAAGCGUGCGCAGGCGGUUUGCUAAGACCGAUGUGAAAUCCCCGGGCUCAACCUGGGAACUGCAUUGGUGACUGGCAGGCUAGAGUACGGCAGAGGGGGGUAGAAUUCCACGUGUAGCAGUGAAAUGCGUAGAGAUGUGGAGGAAUACCGAUGGCGAAGGCAGCCCCCUGGGCCAAUACUGACGCUCAUGCACGAAAGCGUGGGGAGCAAACAGGAUUAGAUACCCUGGUAGUCCACGCCCUAAACGAUGUCAACUAGUUGUUGGGGAUUCAUUUCCUUAGUAACGUAGCUAACGCGUGAAGUUGACCGCCUGGGGAGUACGGUCGCAAGAUUAAAACUCAAAGGAAUUGACGGGGUCAUAGCUGUUUCCU
rnacentral:rRNA from 1 species